rnacentral:rRNA from 1 species
UGCAUAUCAAAAAGCGGAGGAAAAGAAACCAACCGGGAUUGCCUUAGUAACGGCGAGUGAAGCGGCAAAAGCUCAAAUUUGAAAUCUGGUACCUUCGGUGCCCGAGUUGUAAUUUGGAGAGGGCAACUUUGGGGCCGUUCCUUGUCUAUGUUCCUUGGAACAGGACGUCAUAGAGGGUGAGAAUCCCGUGUGGCGAGGAGUGCGGUUCUUUGUAAAGUGCCUUCGAAGAGUCGAGUUGUUUGGGAAUGCAGCUCUAAGUGGGUGGUAAAUUCCAUCUAAAGCUAAAUAUUGGCGAGAGACCGAUAGCGAACAAGUACAGUGAUGGAAAGAUGAAAAGAACUUUGAAAAGAGAGUGAAAAAGUACGUGAAAUUGUUGAAAGGGAAGGGCAUUUGAUCAGACAUGGUGUUUUGUGCCCUCUGCUCCUUGUGGGUAGGGGAAUCUCGCAUUUCACUGGGCCAGCAUCAGUUUUGGUGGCAGGAUAAAUCCAUAGGAAUGUAGCUUGCCUCGGUAAGUAUUAUAGCCUGUGGGAAUACUGCCAGCUGGGACUGAGGACUGCGACGUAAGUCAAGGAUGCUGGCAUAAUGGUUAUAUGCCGCCCGUCUUGAACCA